rnacentral:lncRNA from 1 species
CCCUCGCCGCCGUCCAGGAACCGCUCCGGCCGGAACUCCCGCGCCGCCGUCCACACGGCCUUCAGGUACGGCAUCGCCUGCAUGUCGCCGCCGUCGUUGGAUUUCACCUCAUCGUGCACCUUGGCCUGGACGUCGGGGUGGUUCACCAGCUCGGCCAUGAUCCACUCCACCAGGGUGACCGUCGUGUCCGUGCCGCCGUUGAGGAUCUCGGAGCAGAGGCUGACCAUCUCGGUGUCCGUCAGCUGCCGGUCACCCUCGUCGGGGUCGGGAACUCGCAGCGCGCCGAAGCACAUGUACACGAGCAGCUCGAACAUAGCGCGCCGCAGGAACGGCCUCAGCGUGACCACGGCGGCCUUGCCGUCGUCGCCGCCGCCGGCGAGCGCGCAGAGGCUGGCGACGAGGCCGUCGCACGCCCACUGCCUGGCGGGCGCGAAGAGGGCGAGGCGGGCCGGCUGCAGCGCCUCGCCGGCGAGGUUGCGGCGCACGAGGCACCAGUAGGCCCCGUAGGGCGAGGAACUGACGUCGCGGCCGCCGGCGCUGAAGAGGCUGGCUGGGUCGACGGGCGGUGGGCGGUCGGCGAAGGUGGCGACGCCCUGGACGAGGGCGCGGUGCGUGAGGCGGCGGUCGGCGACGAAGACGAGCGUGCGGGCGAGGCGGAAGGAGAUGACGGGGCCGUAGCGCGCGUGCAUGUCUUGGAGGAGCGGGGCGAGGUCGAAGAUGGCCGCCGGAAGAGCAGCACCGGCGGGCGCGAAGAGGGAGCUUGUUCUUGCUAGCAUGGCCGCCGUGAAGCGAGAGGAGGCUCCAUUGCUGCGUGCAGAGGAGGAGGCGAAUGGCGAUGCCUGCGCUUAUGAUCAAUUGAUUUCUGCGAUAAUGUCGAUAUUCUUUUAGUUCAGUUAUGUACUCAUAUUUAUGGUUAAUUAUUCUUGUAGUUCAGUUGAUAGUUGAUGUUCCCGUGGAUAGCGAGGCGGCCAUGCUCAUUUUAUGAAUCUCAAGAUCACCCAAGUGUAUAUGCGUGUAUGUAAGCAUUUCCUUUGUUGCGCCGUGUUGCACUUGUUGUCACUUGGAUCAAUUGCCAUGGAUCAAAGCUCAUGUUCUUAUUCUCAUGGUCACUUUGUCGAUUAGGCUAACUGAUUUUUAUCUCCGUUGCAUACUUCAUGUAUAUUUGCAAUUGUUCAUUGUGAUUCAUGUUCCAUUUGUCACUUGAAUGAUGCCAUGCGUUGUUCAUAUAUAAUCAGUGGUUACAGUAGUUUGGUUCGAAUCAUCUUUAAUUGGAAGCCUAGAUCUUCAAAUAAAUGUCGUCUUUCUCCACCAAUCGAGCCUCAGUUCCCUAUCAAUAGAUUUGGGCGCUCCAGGUAGUGGAAGCCUUAUCGUUCACAAAAAUGUAUAAACCACAUACAUUUCCAUCCCUUUCUAGAACAAAUUGACAGCUUCGCAUGCAGUUUCAGGAGUACCUUUUUAUUCGGAGAAACUUCUUCAGGGAUAGCCUUGUAUAGGUUAUACUCCACCUUGCUGCUGCUUGAUUGAGGAAAUUUGAAUUUUGUAGGUAUUUCAACAAAAGCUGCUGGUUGGUGCAACCAGAGUCCUUUGGUUGGGAUUAGCCAAGCACAUGAAUGCAUUAGUACAUUGCCGUGCAAUGCAAGGGUGCACCUAAUGAUGAUCGGAGCUAAUGAGUGCUGCAUCUGAGUUGUGCUUAGCGUUGGAAUUAUAUACUAACCGAAGCACUAUUAAUGGUCAACUUGUUAAUAUAUGACAGCAUGGAACAUGUG